rnacentral:misc_RNA from 1 species
CCUCCUUUCUAAGGAUGAACAAAAAGAUAUUGCUUUUUGAUCUAAAAAAUAUACAGGUUAAUGUUGACCGUCCUCAUUUCUCUUCUUAAAAAGUGUUUCGGACUUACAAAAAAUAUUAUGUAGGGGCCGGUAGCUCAGUUGGUUAGAGCGCACCCCUGAUAAGGGUGAGGUCGGAAGUUCGAAUCUUCCUCGGCCCACCAUAACUUAACUGGGGGAUUAGCUCAGCUGGGAGAGCGCCUGAUUUGCAUUCAGGAGGUCAGCGGUUCGAUCCCGCUAUCCUCCACCAUGAAACACUUAGAUCUUUAAAAUUGUAAAUAUUAUUAUUAUCAAUAUCUAUAUCCGAACAUUAAUUAUUUUAUUAAUGUUCAAAUAAAAAUUUGAUUAGAACACAGAAAUUUUUUCUGUGCAUAAAUCAAGCGUUUAAGGGCGUGUGGCGGAUGCCUUGGCACUGAAAGACGAUGAAGGACGUGGUAUACUGCGAUAAGUUUCGGGGAGCUGUAUGCAAGCUUUGAUCCGAAAAUUCCGAAUGG